AGUGAACGCUGGCGGUAGGCCUAACACAUGCAAGUCGAACGGCAGCACAGUAAGAGCUUGCUCUUACGGGUGGCGAGUGGCGGACGAGAGAGGAAUACAUCGGAAUCUACUUUUUCGUGGGGGAUAACGUAGGGAAACUUACGCUAAUACCGCAUACGACCUACGGGUGAAAGCAGGGGAUCUUCGGACCUUGCGCGAUUGAAUGAGCCGAUGUCGGAUUAGCUAGUUGGCGGGGUAAUGGCCCACCAAGGCGACGAUCCGUAGCUGGUCUGAGAGGAUGAUCAGCCACACUGGAACUGAGACACGGUCCAGACUCCUACGGGAGGCAGCAGAGGGGAAUAUGGGACAAUGGGCGCGAGCCUGAUCCAGCCAUACCGCGUGGGUGAAGAAGGCCUUCGGGGUGUAAAGCCCGUCUGUUGGGAAAGAAAAGCAGCAGGUUAAUACCACGCUGUCCUGACGGUACCCAAAGAAUAAGCACCGGCUAACUUCGUG
rnacentral:rRNA from 1 species